GCUCCGGUGGCGGAAUUGGUAGACGCGCAAGUUUCAGGUACUUGUGAGAAAUUUCUCGUGAAGGUUCAAGUCCUUUCCGGAGCACCA
rnacentral:tRNA from 1 species